rnacentral:rRNA from 1 species
GCAGUGGGAGCACAGGUUUACCUGUGUGACUGCGUACCUUUUGUAUAAUGGGUCAGCGACUUAUAUUCUGUAGCAAGGUUAACCGUAUAGGGGAGCCGUAGGGAAACCGAGUCUUAACCGGGCGUUAAGUUGCAGGGUAUAGACCCGAAACCCGGUGAUCUAGCCAUGGGCAGGUUGAAGGUUGGGUAACACUAACUGGAGGACCGAACCGACUAAUGUUGAAAAAUUAGCGGAUGACCUGUGGCUGGGGGUGAAAGGCCAAUCAAACCGGGAGAUAGCUGGUUCUCCCCGAAAGCUAUUUAGGUAGCGCCUCGUGAAUUCAUCUCCGGGGGUAGAGCACUGUUUCGGCUAGGGGGCCAUCCCGGCUUACCAACCCGAUGCAAACUGCGAAUACCGGAGAAUGUUAUCACGGGAGACACACGGCGGGUGCUAACGUCCGUCGUGAAGAGGGAAACAACCCAGACCGCCAGCUAAGGUCCCAAAGUCAUGGUUAAGUGGGAAACGAUGUGGGAAGGCCCAGACAGCCAGGAUGUUGGCUUAGAAGCAGCCAUCAUUUAAAGAAAGCGUAAUAGCUCACUGGUCGAGUCGGCCUGCGCGGAAGAUGUAACGGGGCUAAACCAU